rnacentral:rRNA from 1 species
UACGGAGGAUCCGAGCGUUAUCCGGAUUUAUUGGGUUUAAAGGGAGCGUAGACGGUAAUGUAAGUCUGGAGUGAAAGGCGGGGGCCCAACCCCCGGACUGCUCUGGAAACUAUGUUACUAGAGUGCAGGAGAGGUAAGCGGAAUUCCUAGUGUAGCGGUGAAAUGCGUAGAUAUUAGGAGGAACACCAGUGGCGAAGGCGGCUUACUGGACUGUAACUGACGUUGAGGCUCGAAAGCGUGGGGAGCAAACAGG